AGAGUUUGAUUAUGGCUCAGGAUGAACGCUAGCUACAGGCUUAACACAUGCAAGUCGAGCGGAGCGACUUCGGUCAAUCAGCGGCAGACGGGUGAGUAACACGUAUCCAACCUUUCCCUUACUCGGGUAUAGCCUCGGGAAACUGAGAGUAAUCCCCGAUGAAGUGUACGAGGAGCAUUUUUUGCACACCAAAGAUUUAUCGGUGAGGGGUGGGGAUGCGUUCCAUUAGGUAGUAGGCGGGGCAACGGCCCACCUAGCCGAUGAUGGAUAGGGGUUCUGAGAGGAAGGUCCCCCACAUUGGAACUGAGACACGGUCCAAACUCCUACGGGAGGCAGCAGUGAGGAAUAUUGGUCAAUGGGCGAGAGCCUGAACCAGCCAAGUAGCGUGCAGGACGACGGCCCUAUGGGUUGUAAACUGCUUUUAUGCGGGGAUAAAGUUCACUACGUGUAGUGUUUUGUAGGUACCGCAUGAAUAAGGACCGGCUAAUUCCGUGCCAGCCGCAGC
rnacentral:rRNA from 1 species